rnacentral:snRNA from 1 species
GGAUGUGAGGGCUGUGACAUUUGUCACCCCACUGGUCACUGGAUUGAUUCAGCUGAUCUGGCUGGCUAGACAGGUGUUCCCUUCUUCCCUCAUGGCUCCAGUUGCACCCCUCCCAAGAGAACAACCUUCCCCCAGUAGAGAAGGCUCUGUCUUCGAUCAGGGCUAUACAAGAGCUGCUCUCCUCUGCCACAACCUCAAAACUCUCAUAAAAUGACACCUAAAGGGUCUGGGGAGAUGGCUCCGGUCUAAGCUCUCAUCACCCCACUCAAUCUGGAGAACCCAAGUUUG